GGGGGUAUAGCUCAGUUGGUAGAGCGCGUCGUUCGCAAUGACGAGGCCAGGGGUUCGAACCCCCUUACCUCCA
rnacentral:tRNA from 2 species